rnacentral:rRNA from 1 species
UACAGAGGGUGCAAGCGUUAAUCGGAAUUACUGGGCGUAAAGCGUGCGUAGACGGUUAUUUAAGUCAGGCGUGAAAGUCCUGGGCUCAACCUGGGAACUGCGCUUGAUACGGCAGAGCUAGAGGAUGGAAGAGGUCGCGGAAUUCCCAGUGUAGAGGUGAAAUUCGUAGAUAUUGGGAAGAACACCGGUGGCGAAGGCGGCGACCUGGUCCAUUACUGACGCUGAGGCGCGACAGCGUGGGGAGCAAACAGG